rnacentral:misc_RNA from 1 species
UACAGAGACCCCAAGCGUUGUCCGGAAUCACUGGGCGUAAAGGGUGCGCAGGCGGCAUGGUUAGUCGUAUGUUAAAGCUCGGGGCUUAACCUCGAAAUCGCAUACGAAACGGCCAAGCUUGAGGAUGGGAGAGGUGAAUGGAACUCAUGGUGUAGGGGUGAAAUCCGUUGAUAUCAUGGGGAACACCAAAGGCGAAGGCAAUUCACUGGCCCAUUCCUGACGCUCAUGCACGAAACCUAGGGUAGCGAAAGGG